UGGCAAAAUGGGGAUGACUUGUGGCUAGGGGUGAAAGGCCAACCAAGAUCGGAUAUAGCUGGUUUUCCGCGAAAUCUAUUUCAGUAGAGCGUAUGAUGUCGAUGGCCCCAGGUAGAGCACUCAAUGGGCUAGGGUGGCCCCCAUUUCGCUUUACCAACCCCAGGGAAACUCCGAAUACAGGCCGUCAUCCUUAGUACAGACAGACUGAUUGGGUGCUAAGAUCCAAAGUCGAGAGGGAAACAGCCCAGAUCGUACGCUAAGGUCCCUAAGCAAUCACUUAGUGGAAAAGG
rnacentral:ncRNA from 1 species